AGUUAUAUGCUUGUCUCAAAGAUUAAGCCAUGCAUGUCUAAGUACAGGCCGAUCUAAGGCUAAACCGCGGACGGCUCAUUAAAUCAGAUAUAAUUCAUUGGAUCUGUACACCCACUUACUUGGAUAACUGUGGUAAUUCUAGAGCUAAUACAUGCCUUUAGAGACUCUGACAGUAAUGGAAGAGCGCUUUUAUUAGUCUCAAAACCUUUCGGACCUUGGGCCAAAGGACUUGGUGAAUCUAAAUAACUUUUGCUGAGCGCACGUUCUUGGAAUCGGCGCCGCAUCUUGCAAGUGUCUGCCUUAUCAGCUCUCGAUUGUAGGUUAAACGCCUACAAUGGCUAUAACGGGUAACGGGGAAUCAGGGUUCGAUUCCGGAGAGGGAGCCUGAGAAACGGCUACCACAUCUAAGGAAGGCAGCAGGCGCGCAAAUUACCCACUCCCGGCACGGGGAGGUAGUGACGAAAAAUACUGUUGCGAGACUCCAUCGAGGCUUCGCAAUUGGAAUGAGUACACUUUAAAUCCUUGUACGAGGAUCAAGUGGAGGGCAAGUCUGGUGCCAGCCGCCGCGGUAAUUCCAGCUCCAUUAGCGUAUAUUAAAGUUGUUGCGGUUAAAACGCUCGUAGUUGGCUCCCUGUUCUGGACUGGCGGUUCACCUUAGCGGUGCUUACUGUACAGCUCCGAGCUAUAGCCCCGCUGGCUCGCCCGGGGUGCUCUUCACCGAGUGUCCCUCGUGGCCAGCACGUUUACCUUGAAAAAAUUAGAGUGCUCAGAGCAGGCUAACCUAACAGCCUGAAUGGUGGUGCAUGGAAUGAUGGAAUAGGACUUCGGUUCUAUUUUGUUGGUUUUCGGAACCCGAAGUAAUGAUAAAUAGAAGCAGACGGGGGCAUUCGUACUGCGACGAUAGAGGUGAAAUUCUUAGACCGUCGCAUGACGAGCUACUGCGAAAGCAUUUGCCAAGGAUGUUUUCAUUAAUCAAGAACGAAAGUUAGAGGUUCGAAGGCGAUCAGAUACCGCCCUAGUUCUAACCAUAAACGAUGCUGACUAGCGAUCCGCCACAGUUAUUCCCAUGACCUGGCGGGUAGCUUCCGGGAAACCAAAGUAUUUGAGUUCCGGGGGAAGUAUGGUUGCAAAGCUGAAACUUAAAGGAAUUGACGGAAGGGCACCACCAGGAGUGGAGCCUGCGGCUCAAUUUGACUCAACACGGGGAAUCUUACCAGGCCCGGGCACUGGAAGGAUUGACAGAUUGAAAGCUCUUUCUCGAUUCGGUGGGUGGUGGUGCAUGGCCGUUCUUAGUUGGUGGAGUGAUUUGUCUGGUUAAUUCCGAUAACGAACGAGACUCUAGCCUAUUAACUAGUCGACGGAUCUAAGUUUAUAGACCGUGAAAGUUCACUUGAGUAGUGAUGACCCAGGUGGUGUGGAUCUGUCGGACAGUGGGUUCGCCUGCUCCCGGCAGCUAAAUGCUACUGACAGUUAUGUAUUACGUAGAGCGAGCAUUUUGAAUGGUGUCCAGCUCGCAGCUUCUUCUUAGAGGGAUAAGCGGCAGCAAAUAAAAUACUAGCCGCACGAGAGAUUGAGCCAUAACAGGUCUGUGAUGCCCUUAGAUGUUCUGGGCCGCACGCGCGCUACAAUGGAGAGUUCAGCAAGCUAUCCCUGCUCCGACAGGAGUGGGUAACCUUAUCAAAGCUGUCCUUAAAGGGGAUUGGGGCUUGCAAAUGUGUCCCAUGAACGAGGAAUUCCCAGUAGGCGCAAUUCACCAGAUUGCACCGAUUUAGUCCCUGCCCUUUGUACACACCGCCCGUCGCUACUACCGAUUGAAUGGUCUAGUGAGGGCAUCGGACUGGCGUUCUUGGAGUGGUCUAUCUAUCUCUUCACCUCGUGUGUUGAGUAGUAGUAGCCGCGCCUCGAGUCGACGGAAAGAUGUCCGAGCUGGGUCAUUUAGAGGAAGUAAAAGUCGUAACAAGGUUUCCGU
rnacentral:rRNA from 1 species